UUAUCCUUCACAGCAUAUCUCAAGAGAGAGAAAAAAGAGAAAGAUAUACCUGAAGACACAUACCCAGAUUGACAUAUAUUUUGGCAACUCUUCCAUACCUGGAUGGGAACUGAAUAUGCAUGGACUUGCUGGGGGGCCAUCAGUUGGAUUUCAAACAAAUAGGACCUAUGAAUAUUGUCCCCACAUGUUUCGAUGUGGAUGCAAGUUGGCUAGACCCACAACAACUGCAAACAUUUUCCCCACAUGCAAGAUAUUUUCUGAAAAAAUGGCUAGAGAGAGGAAGGAGAAAACGAGACAAACACUAUAUUGUAAGGAUCUCUGAGAACUCUUUCCAACUCAAGCUGAGAAGAAUUUCUGGUUGGAGCUGGCCUUCUCACAGAAGCAGCGGCAGCUGUCUGUUGUCUGCAUUGUUGAAAAUCAAUGUCCUAAUUAAAAGCUUUCAAAAACCAAGAACCUUGUAAGAACAGAUGAAAUUUUAUUUAUUUAUUUAUUUCUGAGAUAACUGAAAGUGAAGCAGACUUUGGUCUCAUCAGUUGAUGAAGUGGCAAAGGACCAAAGGAAACUGUGCUCCUUGUUUAGUGAGGAACCAAUUAUUCU
rnacentral:lncRNA from 1 species